UACGGAGGGUGCAAGCGUUAUCCGGAUUCACUGGGUUUAAAGGGUGCGUAGGCGGGCAUUUAAGUCAGUGGUGAAAUACCUGAGCUUAACUUGGGAACUGCCAUUGAUACUAUUUGUCUUGAAUGUCGUGGAGGUUAGCGGAAUAUGUCAUGUAGCGGUGAAAUGCUUAGAUAUGACAUAGAACACCUAUUGCGAAGGCAGCUAACUACGCGAAUAUUGACACUCAGGCACGAAAGCGUGGGGAUCAAACAGG
rnacentral:rRNA from 1 species